rnacentral:rRNA from 1 species
AGAUUGAACGCUGGCGGCAUGCUUUACACAUGCAAGUCGAACGGUAACAGGCCGCAAGGUGCUGACGAGUGGCGAACGGGUGAGUAAUGCAUCGGAACGUGCCCAGUCGUGGGGGAUAACGCAGCGAAAGCUGUGCUAAUACCGCAUACGAUCUAUGGAUGAAAGCCGGGACCAGCAAUGGCCUGGCGCUGAUAGAUGAGCCGAUGUCGGAUUAGCUAGUUGGUGAGUAUGGCU